CAUAAGCGGAGGAAAAGAAACCAACAGGAUUGCCUUAGUAGCGGCGAGUGAAGCGGCAAAAGCUCAAAUUUGAAAUCUGGCGCCUUCGGUGUCCGAGUUGUAAUUUGAAGAUUGUAACCUUGGGGUUGGCUCUUGUCUAUGUUUCUUGGAACAGGACGUCACAGAGGGUGAGAAUCCCGUGCGAUGAGAUGCCCAAUUCUAUGUAAGGUGCUUUCGAAGAGUCGAGUUGUUUGGGAAUGCAGCUCUAAGUGGGUGGUAAAUUCCAUCUAAAGCUAAAUAUUGGCGAGAGACCGAUAGCGAACAAGUACAGUGAUGGAAAGAUGAAAAGAACUUUGAAAAGAGAGUGAAAAAGUACGUGAAAUUGUUGAAAGGGAAGGGUUUGAGAUCAGACUCGAUAUUUUGUGAGCCUUGCCUUCGUGGCGGGGUGACCCGCAGCUUAUCGGGCCAGCAUCGGUUUGGGCGGUAGGAUAAUGGCGUAGGAAUGUGACUUUACUUCGGUGAAGUGUUAUAGCCUGCGUUGAUGCUGCCUGCCUAGACCGAGGACUGCGAUUUUAUACAAGGAUGCUGGCAUAAUGAGCACUGACC
rnacentral:rRNA from 1 species